UCGAUCCCGAUCUUUCCAGACUCCAUUCUCCCUUUUCUCUCGCUCUCUCGAGACUCAAGCACAAGCUUCGCUCCUGCUGUUGUGGCGCCGAUCGUGACGCCAACAACCACCAGGCCACCUCCCUCAUCUACUCCUCAUUCACCUGGAUCUGAUCGGCGAUCGCUAUCGCACCUUGGUGUCUUGGAUGUCCCACAAUCAUCACUAAAGCCGCCAUUCCGGGGAUUUCAGGCCAUUGGUGCUAUAAUUGGCAUAAGACGGAGGCAGAACAACUAGAGUGUGCUGAGAUCCUGCAUUUUCUAAGAAGGAAGUUCAUUGAUUUUGAUGUUUGAAAAAUUCAAUACGCCACUGAUUGAUUAACUGGGAAGACAAAGCAAAUCUGUCAUGUGCCUAUUCAUCUCAGCAUUUAUUCACCGAAUGGUGAUGAUGUUCUGGUGAUAAUCAAAGUUCUGACUUGGCUCAUCAACAUCGGUAACCAAUUCCAAUGAUGACUUGAGAUCAUGAGAGCCAGAUUCCUCGAUGGUACUAGCACUAGUUCCAAGAAUCAGUCUUUUCUUCUCGUGUUCUUUCCCUUGCACUUGUCCAUUGAUAGUUUUGCAUAUACUGAAACAUGUAAAUUGUGUUAGAAAAAAAUUUCUUGAUUGAUAAAACUGAGACCUCCUCUCCGUC